GCCCCCGCCAGCACCGGGAACGGCACCGGGUAACGGAGCGGUACCAGGCACUGGGCAACAGCACCAGGUCCCAAGGAAAACUCCGAGUUGGCUGGUGAGGAUGUUACCAGGAGAAAUUCUUCCUUUCCAGAGGAAAAAAACAGAAGAACAGUGACUGCAGCAGUGACUGAUGGAGAGGCUGCCCCUGGAUCUGCCCUGGAACUGCCCCAGCUCCACCCCAGCGAUGCCUUGAAGCGAUCUUAGCUCUGCCCUGGCUCUCUUUGUGCCUCAGAAAGUCUCAGAAGCCUCUGGGAAGGUGAGCAUUAUCCAAGCUGAGCAGCAGCCGGACGCAUGGCCACCUCACAUGAGCUCAGCAGGAUGCCGAAUGACGCCGCGCAUUCCGGGGACAGAGGGAGUCUGGAGCUUCCUAAUGGAUUUCCGAGAAAAUUGCCUCUGUGUUUGGAGCAGGAGAGCAAAGAGUGCAGGCGGAACGGCCUUUCUCUCUAAGUGGCAUCUCAAGGGUCUUAAUUAUUUCUCAGGAGUGGAAACAUUUAUUUAGGCGGCUCUGGAGAGGUCCUGACGCUUUUGGCUACUGCUCUCCGGGCACAUCCUGUAUGCGAGGCUCCUCUGCAAUGCUCCCUGCUGCUGCCGGGAUGUGCUGAGUGCUUGGGCAAAGCACAAACACCCAACCACGUCACCUGCGGGCAGGACAUGGCCUCAGCUCCAUCCUCUCCUUCUUACCGGGAAGCAGGAUCUCAUGGGGGAGCCCAGCCCCAUCCCAUCCCUGCUCUGCAUCCCUCACACUCCCAGGUCUCAAAACCCCGUCGUGAUAAUCCAGCCCAGUUAAUGUGAAACAGAUGAAUCCCCACAUUAGUCACAGAUUCUCAUGUUCCCACAAAGGUCCCACUGGAGAGCCAGUGUGGACGGGCCCUGCGGGGUUCCAGCCCUGCUGCUUCUGCAAGAGGCAGCCUGGGAAGAGUGAGGGGGACAGGGCAGCACUACAAACCCUGCCAGAACCCGGCCACCCAUGGGCAGCACACAACUUGGAGCUGUGGGCAGGGCAAAGUGGGGGCACCAGAGAUGUUUGUCAUUGGCACAGGCUCAGCCUGGUUGUGCCUAGUGCCAGGAGGAGGGGAUGAUCUGCUCCAGCAAAAAAAUGGAAAUGACAUUUUGUCCAAGGGGGAAUUUCCACAGGAAACCUCUGCUUUCAGCCACUCGGAUAUGGCUGGGAACAACCCAGCAAACACUUGGCCUCAGCAGCCAAGCAGUGCCAUUGCUUGGGCAAAGACUCCAUAGUUCCUCCAGCUAGGAAAGAACAUCCAGUUUCUGCUGCUGAAACAACCAGGAGAGUGAGAGCCCUACUGGGUCUGCAGAGGUCACCAGAACCCCCCAUCAGCUCAGUGAGUAUCUCUGCACCUGAGGGGACCCUGCAGCACCCACAGCCCAGCUGAGAACAAGGGCACAAUCAUCUCAUGCCUACCCCAGUGCCAGGGCUGGCUGGGGGCAUCAGGAGCACAUGCACCAGGGCUGCACUUGGCCCCCACCCCAUGCUGGUGCAUCCCAACAUCCCUGCACAUCCCCAUGCAUCCCUGCCCUCUCCCUGCAUCCCUGCUCUCCCUUACAGAGCUCAGGUUGCCACAGUAACCACUCAGUCCCAGCUGCUCCAGCCACCAACGUGCUGCCACAGGUCAGCCCAGUCCAGCAGCUGCACCAGGGACAGGGCCCUUCACCCCAUGUCAGGAUGAGCAGAGCCCUUGGUGCUGGUGCCACCACAGCCAGAUGCUACAUUGUGAGCCAGGAUGGGACACCUAUAGGGAAACAGGCAGGUUGUGUCCUCCUGGAAUGGCUGGGAGGUGGUGUUUUUGGAGAUCACACUGGGCUGGAGCUCUGGGUCUGACCUCUGCCACAUGUGGCAGUGGAAGCCACCACUGCUUGGCUCUUCUCUGCUGUAUAUUUAUCUGAGUGUGAUGCAAUAUUUAUUUGACUGUUGUGUUCUGAGCACUGGAAGCAGGGAUUGGGAUGGCUCUUGGCUUGGCCAGCAGUGGCAUGUGCUCUGCAGCUCAGCAUGUGUUGCUCUGGGAAGAUCCUACCCAGAACCUGGGAGGGCAGAGGAGACCCUCAGGCCAGGUGGCAGCUGAGUCCUGGGGAAUCUCUGCCUCCCACCCCUCACUGCAGCCCUGUUAAUUCAGCUGCUUGGCCCUGGAGCUGCAGAUAAACUGUGUCCUCUCUAAUCCCUGUCUGCUGCCUUAUUCCCAAGGACUGUCAAUAUUGCACAGCUCAGACACCCCAGGUACCAGUGGGACCCUGCACGAGCCCCUGCUCAGGACUGCCCCUGGUCCAGGGCUGCCCUGGCAGGUGGCUGCCCAUCCCCACAGGGCUGCCCUGUGCCUGUCACGCAUCCCAAGAGGAUUAUCUGCAUUUGGAAACCCCUAAUCCGUUUGCACGCUUGGCUCAGACACCGUCCCCACUCCUCCCCACUGUGCUGUGGCCCUGGGCAAGGAGCAAAGCCUGUGACCUCCUUUUGGAGCCACAAACAACCUCCUGCCCCAGCACAGGCAGAAAGCAAGGGCUGCAGGGCUGACUGGGGCAGAAGGAGGGAGACAGGAUGUUGGCAAGCAUCCCUUGCCCCAGUUGCUGCUGAUGCUGCAGGGGUUUCUCCAGCCCAGCACAGGGACCUACCCUGGGCACUUUCUCCUGCUGCCCAUCAGGCUCCAGGAGCUCUCAGCCUGCUGGUCCCCAGAGCAUUGACAGCAGGAGCUCCAAGGUGGAAGCAGUGGCCCCUUGACCCCAUCACUCAGGGCUGGGGCAGGUGCCAACAGGGGCACAGUGGGCCCAGGGAGGUAAGGAACCCCUGAUCUGCAGGAAUAGGGCAUCAAACACCAUGUUCCUGACACCACAUGGUUGUGGCAACGCCAAGGGUUUCAGAUGUGUAAAAAAAUUCCUUAGUCCUGGGUUCUAAACCCCAUCCUGCAGCAGUCAGAGGGGAGCUGGUUCUCCCGGGCAGGAGAAGGAGGUCCCUGCUGAUGGGCUGGGCCUCAUUCCUUUGUGAGCUGCCCUCCACCUGCAGCACCCUGGGCUGCACCACUGAGACAGGCUGUGAUCCAACACAGCUGCCUUGAAAGCAGGAAUGAGUUUGUGGGGCCUGGGCAGAGCCCUGGUUUGGUUUGACAGUGAAAUGCAGGGGAGCAGGUUCCCGAAGCAGGGACAUGGUCAGCUCAGCCCGGAGCAGGAUGCUGCCAGGCACACAGAGGGCAGAGAAGGCUCCAGUGCACCUCCAGCGCCUCAAAUGAUGCAGCACAGCCAGUUCCACAUGACCUGCAUGAACAAUCCUCUUAAUCCUGCUCUGACAGAGAAAUAAUCUCUCCCUCUUGCCCUCAUCAGAGCACAAACCCUGGAAUGAUCCUGUUCAUGGUUCCUCUCAUCACAUCCACGUGGUAUUGCAGAUGGCUAGGAUGCAAGUGCUGGGAUGGGAUCCACCAGGGCUGCGUGUGCAAAGCGUGUCACUGUCACCAGCCAGCGCUCCCAGCCUCACACACCGAUCCAGCCGUGCCCUGCACUACCUGGCACCCACUGCCCCCAGCCCCAGCUUCAGCCCAUCGCCCCCCAGGGCAGAAGCACUGGCAGGGGCCCCUCUGCAGCCCCAGCCAGCCCGGGCUGAGAGCAGCCAGAGCGGGGCCCCAGCGCAGCCAUGUCCUCCCACGCUGGCACCGGCAUUUCCUUUACACAACUGGAGGAGACCCGGGCACGUCUCUGGGGCAGAGAAAGCAGCCACGGGCUGGGGCAGGGCCACUGCCCCCUGCCUGCCCUGGGAAGGGCCCCGCAGCCCCGGGAAGGGGCAGCUGCCCACGCCUGCCGGGCAGGCGCCGGGGCCGCUCGCGCCGAGCAAACCGCAGCGGCGGCACCGGGGCCGAAUUGCGCUGAAGGAGGCCCCAGUUCCCGGAGCAGGGUCAGGUGGGUGCCGCAGGCAGAGCCAAGCUCACACCCCAGAGCACGUCGCUUCAGGGCCUUUAUUUUGGAGAAAGUUAAAGCCUGUAGAUACAGCAAUAAAAUAUACAAAAAAAUAAAAUUUUUUUACAGUAUUGAAUGUUGCCAGGGACUGCGGCCGGAGGCAGUGAGCGAGCAGAGGGGCCAAGGGCCCUCAUCGCCCCUGGGCAUCCCCAGGGCCAGCCACGGACCCCCUACUGCUCCCACACAACUUGGAGGGGCUUUCCCAGACCCCACAGCCACGAGGAUCCUCCCCCUUGCCCUCUGGUUCCCUGCCCAGCAGCUGUGAUGCAACUCAGAGGGAGCAGCUCUCCCACUGCCUCCCCCACCCCUCCACUGCUCAUCCGUGUCUGUUUGCCCACUGCAUGGAAAGGGCAGGAGGGUUCUCCCAAUUCUGUUAAAUGCAGGACCACAACCACCAACCCCCCCAAAAGUCAGGACAUCUGCCCUUCACAACACCCCUGACACUGUCCUGCACUGCCCCACAACAGGUUCCUCUCCUCACAUCCACCUGCUCCCUUCAACUCUUGACCCUUCCCACCUUAACUUUGAGGGCCAACCUCCAACAGAAAUGCCACAUGAAGCUGCAGACCCCAUGUCUGGCCCCUCACAACCCAGAGAGAAAGGGACAGGCCAGGUGCCCCACUGUCAGCCAUGCUGGCUCCCCCAAUUCCCCAGGGUCCAACUGGUCUAACUCAGCACAGUGCUGAAAUGAAGACCGUGCUCCCAGCACCAGCCUGGCCACAGCAAAGCCAGGACAGCCCCAUGGCUUCACUCAGCUCCCAAAA